rnacentral:rRNA from 1 species
AUUGAACGCUGGCGGCAUGCCUUACACAUGCAAGUCGAACGGCAGCACGGGUGCUUGCACCUGGUGGCGAGUGGCGAACGGGUGAGUAAUACAUCGGAACAUGUCCUGUAGUGGGGGAUAGCCCGGCGAAAGCCGGAUUAAUACCGCAUACGAUCCACGGAUGAAAGCGGGGGACCUUCGGGCCUCGCGCUAUAGGGUUGGCCGAUGGCUGAUUAGCUAGUUGGUGGGGUAAAGGCCUACCAAGGCGACGAUCAGUAGCUGGUCUGAGAGGACGACCAGCCACACUGGGACUGAGACACGGCCCAGACUCCUACGGGAGGCAGCAGUGGGGAAUUUUGGACAAUGGGCGAAAGCCUGAUCCAGCAAUGCCGCGUGUGCGAAGAAGGCCUUCGGGUUGUAAAGCACUUUUGUCCGGAAAGAAAUCCUUGGCUCUAAUACAGUCGGGGGAUGACGGUACCGGAAGAAUAAGCACCGGCUAACUACGUG